CACGUAGGGUGCGAGCGUUGUCCGGAAUUAUUGGGCGUAAAGAGCCUCGUAGGCGGUGUGUCGCGUCGGCCGUGAAAACCUGCAGCUUAACUCUGGGCUUGCGGUCGAUACGGGCAUCACUGGAGUUCGGCAGGGGAGACUGGAAUUCCUGGUGUAGCGGUGAAAUGCGCAGAUAUCAGGGAGGAACACCGGUGGGCGAAGGCGGAUCUCUGGGCCGAUAACUGA
rnacentral:rRNA from 1 species